rnacentral:pre_miRNA from 1 species
GGAUUUAGGAAAUCCGUCUCUAAACUUAGAGACGGAUUUUAAAAAUCCGUCUCUAAGCUUAGAGACGGAUUUUGCAAAUCCGUCUCUAGUUUAGAGACGGAUUUUGAAAAUCCGUCUCUAAACUUAGAGACGGAUUUUGGAAAUCCGUCUCUAAGUUUAGAGACGGAUUUUGGAAAUCC